rnacentral:snoRNA from 1 species
CCCAGUUGUAGGCAAUUGCAUAGGUUGCCUUGUACCUAGGGAAGUGUUACAGUGCUGGGAGAAAAGCAACCAGUUGCUGAUGGGUGUUCUGGGUCUGGUUAAUGCUAACUCUGUGUUAACUAUACCAAUUUGCCAGCAUAUAGC